rnacentral:lncRNA from 1 species
AUGACACAGUUGAUCGAAAAUGACACAGACACAGAAAAAUCAGGACUCGGCCCCCUCCAGUGCCUCUACCUGCUGCCCACAGCUGGAGUGCAGAUGUGCAAAGUAAGGAGCAAAAGGGGAAAAGACUUGGUUGUGGUGUGUGGCUGCCGGGAGCUUCCUCAUCCUUUAUGAGCUGGAUCUGUAAAGGAGACUGUCAGGCAGGUAAGACCUGCACCGUGCCACUUUACAGAAGGCCAGCUAGGGGUCCCCAGUGGAUGUGAAUGAGAGCCUCCCGGUGCUGUCCUGUGCCGGGGCCCCCAGACACACCGCAGCCCCCAGGGAGGGGCGCACAGACCACCCGCGUGAAGCAGCAGUAAUUCCCCGCGGCUUCAGGGUCCGCUUCACCAGGCGGGUAAUUCAGGAGCAAGUCAGCAAACACUUAGGGAGACAUUCCAUAGAAAUACAUGUACCUCGUAGGGUAUACUGUAAUCGGUAGCUAAAUCCUGGAUCGUUGCCAAAGAAAAGCAAAAUAUGCUGGCAUCGUGUGAAACCAUGUGAUGGGCUUUGUUUUUAUGAGCAGAUUCCCCCAUUUAUAAGUCUUUGAUAAAUCCUCCCCCUCCCCUUCCCCAAAUGGGAUCUGAACUUGUUGAGAGUCAGGGUUAUUAUUAUCAUCAUCAUUAUUAUUAUUAUUAUUAUUAUUAUUAUUAUUAUUGAAGGUGAAAUGGGACAAGGGUUUCUCCGUGCCCUGUGCUGUCCCAGAGCUUGUCGGGCUCCAGGCGGCACCAGCUAAGCCACCUUGGACCUGCAGCAGGUUCCGCAGAGCCACGUGCGCAGGGCGCGGGGUCCAGCAGCUGCCCUCCCGGGGAGAAGGCUCUGCAGACUCCGCUGGGCUCCGGGGCAGGGGGCGCUUCUAGACUGACA